GUUUCAGGCCACAAAGCUUAAACGUCAAGUCGCGUGAAAGGAAGAAGAGCAAACAGAAAACCAGGAACGACUUCAAAAUAAAACCCCGAAAAUGAGAAACUAAAAGCUGUAAAAAUGUGUAAUGUUGCGUGAUUGCCACAAGAGGGCGACAUUUAACUAGAAAGAAACACAAACUCCUCAAAGCGGUCUUCACAGGCUGCUAUUUGUAAAAACUGCACUCAAUAUAUUAUUGUACUUCACUCAAAUGGUCAAACUUGCUAUUUUUUGUAUUUCCAUCCACGUCAAUAAAGGCGUGACAUUUAUUAUAGUAUCCAAAAAUGUAAUGAAUUAACAAAAGGCUUUUGACUCUAGUUUAUGUAAUGACGGCAAGCUACCGCGAGAUGGCAGUGCCCCCAUUCACUUGUAUGUAACCCAGCGUCAAAUGACCAUGUCCAUUUCCUUUUCAUGCUCUGGUCCAGCUGCUGCACAAAAAAAGUUUGCAGAAGCUAGCGUUGGCAGUUAACGUCUUCAACGACCAGAAGGUGCGCAUCUUCCAAAUAAGCCCAACAUCUGGAACUGCAACAAUUCGACUAGACACAAAAGCUGGCACUAAAGACACUCCCACAUCAUGCAUACAACACUGGUUCAUGAAGUGAAGGUCCAUCAAUUACCUGCAGCUCCUUGAACUUCUUCUGCGACUGCAUCGCUACACUCUGCUCAUCUUCGAUUUUGGAUGUCUUCCAGCGUCUGCUGGUGUGCCUGCUGCAAGGCCGACUUCUCCUUGGACAACCUGCCAAUGGUAUCAUCCAGGGAACACAUCUCCUCCGUCAAAUUCUUCACCUGAAGAAAAUUGAAAUCAAUCAUCUCCAGAUGUUCCUCUUUUGCUCCACACUUGGGUUUGCAAACCUUGUUUUCAGUGGCGUGCUUUUCCUUUUCAACUUUGACCAGGGUGAGCUCUAAAUCAUCAAUAUCCCUUUUCAGCUCGGAGCAUUCGUCUUCCAG